GUGGGGAAUCUUCCGCAAUGGGCGCAAGCCUGACGGAGCAACGCCGCGUGAGUGAAGAAGGUUUUCGGAUCGUAAAGCUCUGUUGACAGGGACGAGAGGAUGCAUCAGGAAAUGGGUGUAUUAGGACGGUACCUGUCGAGGAAGCCACGGCUAACUACGUGCCAGCAGCCGCGGUAAUACGUAGGUGGCGAGCGUUGUCCGGAAUUAUUGGGCGUAAAGGGAGCGCAGGUGGGAUUGUAAGUCAGUCUUAAAAGUUCGGGGCUCAACCCCGUGAUGGGAUUGAAACUAUAAUUCUUGAGUGCAGGAGAGGAAAGCGGAAUUCCUAGUGUAGCGGUGAAAUGCGUAGAUAUUAGGAGGAACACCAGUGGCGAAGGCGGCUUUCUGGACUGUAACUGACACUGAGGCUCGAAAGCGUGGGGAGCGAACAGG
rnacentral:rRNA from 1 species